GAUCAUUUUGUGAUGAUAAGAAUGAAUUUCUGCCCUAUCAACUUUCGAUGGUAAUGUAGUGGAUUACCAUGGUGAUGACGGGUAACGGGGAAUUAGGGUUUGAUUCCGGAGAAAAGGCCUGAGAGACGGCCAUUACUUCUAAGGAAGGCAGCAGGCGCGUAAAUUACCCAAUCCUAAUACGGGGAGGUAGUGACAAGAAAUAUUGAUAUUGGACCCAAAGGGUACAAUGAUUGAAAUGAGAACAAUAUAAAAAACUUAACGUCUAACAAUUGGAGGGCAAGUCUGGUGCCAGCAGCCGCGGUAAUUCCAGCUCCAAGAGUGUAUAUUAAAGUUGUUGCGGUUAAAAAGCUCGUAGUUGAAUUUCUGAAAAUAAUCUUGUGAUUGAUUUAACCGUCAUGAACAAAAAUUGUUACUAUACUUGAUAGA
rnacentral:rRNA from 1 species